UAGGCCUACGGGAGGCAGCAGUGAGGAAUAUUGGUCAAUGGGCGCGAGCCUGAACCAGCCAAGUCGCGUGAGGGAAGACGGUCCUAUGGAUUGUAAACCUCUUUUGUCGGGGAGCAAAAGACGCCACGCGUGGCGUUCCGAGAGUACCCGAAGAAAAAGCAUCGGCUAACUCCGUGCCAGCAGCCGCGGUAAUACGUAGGUGGCAAGCGUUGUCCGGAUUUAUUGGGCGUAAAGCGAGUGCAGGCGGUUCCAAAAGUCUG
rnacentral:rRNA from 1 species